rnacentral:rRNA from 1 species
AUUGAACGCUGGCGGCAUGCCUUACACAUGCAAGUCGAACGGUAACAGGUCUUUGGAUGCUGACGAGUGGCGAACGGGUGAGUAAUAUAUCGGAACGUGCCUAGUAGUGGGGGAUAGCUACUCGAAAGAGUGGCUAAUACCGCAUGAGAUCUACGGAUGAAAGCAGGGGAUCGCAAGACCUUGUGCUACUAGAGCGGCCGAUGGCAGAUUAGGUAGUUGGUGGGAUAAAAGCUUACCAAGCCGACGAUCUGUAGCUGGUCUGAGAGGACGAUCCGCCACACUGGGACUGAGACACGGCCCAGACUCCUACGGGAGGCAGCAGUGGGGAAUUUUGGACAAUGGGCGCAAGCCUGAUCCAGCAAUGCCGCGUGCAGGAUGAAGGCCUUCGGGUUGUAAACUGCUUUUGUACGGAACGAAAAGCCCCGGGUUAAUACCCUGGGGUCAUGACGGUACCGUAAGAAUAAGCACCGGCUAACUACGUGCCAGCCGCCGCCGUAA